rnacentral:lncRNA from 1 species
GGGGAUUCGGCUUAGCCGCGCCCGCCAGGUGACCUCACGGCUGGCCGGCCCGCCCGCGUGACGUCACGUCCCGCGCGGAGCCCACCGCCUCCGAGUGACGUCAUCAGGGAUCCUGCGUUGUGGACCCGCAGAGCUCUGGGUCUGCGGACCGCCAUUUGUGAGGCGGUCCAGACUACGUUACAAUGACUCAGAAGUUGUUUGGUGGCUUUCUGACCUUUAAGUAAUCGAGGCUUAAAACAAUACUGUCAGGAAAAAUAAGCAGGUGACUAGAAGAGGAAAGGAAAAGAAAGGAUUUCAUGUUAACAAUCCAUGGGGUGGCUUUGCCAUUCAGUAAUAGUAAAGAAAUAGGAUUGAGUUCUGGAUAAUUGGGAUGAGGAGCAGGGUCCCUGAAAUGAACCCAUCACAGUCUGUGGUAGCAAUGGUUCCCUCUAACACAACCCAUCAUUUGGUACCUGACUGAAUGUUAUCUGUGACUAUGCAGCAGGCCCAGUUUGGGAGAACCCACUACUGUAGGUAGCACUGAGUUGUCUUGAAAGAUGUGUGGCCACCUUGUGAGGAAGAGGAAGUUAGAAAGUCACACCUGAGAAGACAUGAGGACAGGGGAUCACCGGGAAGAGUUUCAUGUGGUCUCCUUUCUGCAGCUAUGUUCUGCCUUUUCACAGGCCAGGCCCUUCCCAUCCCUGAGAUCUCAGCCCAAAUACGUAUAUCACUUCCUUCAAAGUGAUCCCAAAGACAUCUUCCCAGAAAAGCAGCCAGAAGUAUUGCCCUUUAUUUUCUUUAUCUACCUCUAAUUAUGUUGGCAUUCGACAUGUUUACUUAUUUCUUGUCUGUCUUUCUCUUGCUCCAAUAAAAU